GAAGGGCGGGGUGCUAUACAUGUAGUCGAGCGAACAGAUAAGGAGCUUGCUCCUUUGACGUUAGCGGCGGACGGGUGAGUAACACGUGGGUAACCUACCUAUAAGACUGGAAUAACUCCGGGAAACCGGGGCUAAUGCCGGAUAACAUAUAGAACCGCAUGGUUCUAUAGUGAAAGAUGGUUUUGCUAUCACUUAUAGAUGGACCCGCGCCGUAUUAGCUAGUUGGUAAGGUAAUGGCUUACCAAGGCGACGAUACGUAGCCGACCUGAGAGGGUGAUCGGCCACACUGGAACUGAGACACGGUCCAGACUCCUACGGGAGGCAGCAGUAGGGAAUCUUCCGCAAUGGGCGAAAGCCUGACGGAGCAACGCCGCGUGAGUGAUGAAGGGUUUCGGCUCGUAAAACUCUGUUAUUAGGGAAGAACAUAUGUGUAAGUAACUGUGCACAUCUUGACGGUACCUAAUCAGAAAGCCACGGCUAACUACGUGCCAGCAGCCGCGGUAAUACGUAGGUGGCAAGCGUUAUCCGGAAUUAUUGGGCGUAAAGCGCGCGUAGGCGGUUUCUUAAGUCUGAUGUGAAAGCCCACGGCUCAACCGUGGAGGGUCAUUGGAAACUGGGAAACUUGAGUGCAGAAGAGGAAAGUGGAAUUCCAUGUGUAGCGGUGAAAUGCGCAGAGAUAUGGAGGAACACCAGUGGCGAAGGCGACUUUCUGGUCUGUAACUGACGCUGAUGUGCGAAAGCGUGGGGAUCAAACAGGAUUAGAUACCCUGGUAGUCCACGCCGUAACGAUGAGUGCUAAG
rnacentral:rRNA from 1 species